UACGUAGGGUGCAAGCGUUAAUCGGAAUUACUGGGCGUAAAGCGUGCGCAGGCGGUUUUGUAAGUCUGUCGUGAAAUCCCUGGGCUUAACCUGGGAAUGGCGAUGGAGACUGCAAGGCUAGAGUUUGGCAGAGGGGGGUAGAAUUCCACGUGUAGCAGUGAAAUGCGUAGAGAUGUGGAGGAACACCGAUGGCGAAGGCAGCCCCCUGGGUCAAAACUGACGCUCAUGCACGAAAGCGUGGGGAGCAAACAGG
rnacentral:rRNA from 1 species